rnacentral:rRNA from 1 species
UACGUAGGGUGCAAGCGUUGUCCGGAAUUAUUGGGCGUAAAGAGCUCGUAGGCGGUCUGUCGCGUCUGCUGUGAAAACUCGGGGCUUAACCCCGGGCCUGCAGUGGGUACGGGCAGGCUAGAGUGUGGUAGGGGAGAUCGGAAUUCCUGGUGUAGCGGUGAAAUGCGCAGAUAUCAGGAGGAACACCGGUGGCGAAGGCGGAUCUCUGGGCCAUUACUGACGCUGAGGAGCGAAAGCGUGGGGAGCGAACAGG